ensembl:lncRNA
CAAAGCAACAUGUGAAUGCAGCCUGAGCUUCAGGAGAUGGCGCUCUAUAGGUAUUUUGGGCACAUAUCUUUCUCAGCGGAGCUACCAUGCUCAGGACAUACAUGGUACAUAGGACAGAAACUGUUUUUGCUCUCCUUGUGGAAAGAUGUUGAGUCAUCAUGAGAUCUAUUGUAGGAGUGCCAGAGCCAGAGAUACCAAUUCUGCAGGAAGAGCAGUGAAGCUGAGACUUAAAGACCAAGCCCUGAAGAGCACCUUGUUUGUUUAUGUUCAUUGCGCUCAUUCUCCUUCAAGGCUAUAGAAAACUUAUUUCUGGAAUUCAGCCAAUGGUAUGAUACAUGUUACAGAUCCCAUUCUUAGCUGCAAAGCUUCUGCUGCAUGUGGCUUAAGGAGACACUGCCCUUGGCAUGGUGAUGAACGUCUUGGUGAACCCCUGUGAUCAGAAGCUGCCUAUAGCAAAACUCUGCAGGGGUUCUUGCCAGAAUAGCCUCAGCUUGCACCCACAGUGUUCACCAGUUUCACCCCACUCAGCUUCAGAAAAGCACCAUCUGUGCAAGGGAGCAGUAGAGAUAAUUUUAGUUCUUGUCACAGUUUCUUGCCUGAUUCCCAUGAGACUUUUGACCUAUUAGAAAAUGGAUCGCAUCUAAGAGUAGCAUGUAACUAGAACUCCACCAAAAAAUAAAGAGUAAGAUUGCUUUUAAAAUACCUGUUUUAAUAUCCAUUUUUUUCUGCUGUGUUUUGGAAAGAUGUCAAUGUUCUGCGUUGUAGAGAGAACUUGGGAGACAAUGCAAGGCUCAGGAGUAACUGCUUCUUCCUUCAGGGGACCAGUGGGAUGUGUGGCUCUCACCUUUGGAUGCACAGGGCAUUUCCAUCUCAGUACAACACCUGCAGACCUUCCUUAGGUAUUGGCACCCUGGAGCUUCUUUGGCUCAGUCCAUAGCAUUAAGAGAUGGGGAUGUGUCAGCCUUGCACCUGCAGUGGACAAGCUGGGAUUUGUUUUGCAGUGUUGUUUCCCUGGUUAGGCUGUUUGGAGGCUGCAGUCCUAAGUACUGACAAAGAACAUGUGAAACCUGCAGGAACUUCAGAGGGGUUCAAAGCCCCAAGCAUAGAAUAGAAUCAUAUAAUCAAUAAGGUUGUAAUGGACCUCUAAUAUCAUCUAGUCCAACUGCUGACUCAUCACCACCAUACCCACUAACCAUGUUCCUCAGUACCACACUUAUCCUUUUCUUGAACAUCUCCAAGGACAGUGACUCCACCACCUCCCUGGGCAGCCCAUUCCAAUGCUCCAGUCUUACAGAAUCAUCGAAUCAAGUAGAGGAGGUGGAGGGGUGGAUGACUGCCUGUAAAAGCUCACUGCCAAAAGGAAUGGGAUUAAGCUCAUGUGGGACACAACAAGAUGGGUUGUCACUUCAACAGCAAUGACUCAGGCUAUUUAAUAGAAUGGGUAACUACCCAUGCGAUAAAUUGCCCCAUAAACUUUUUUCAGCCCAACAGACAGUUUAGACGAAAGCCAGAUGAACCAAGAACACACCAGGUACAGGUGAUCCUGAUUGGGAUGGAGAAAGAGACUGCAGAAACCCUUCCCAGCCCUCCCAAUGGGAAUUUAGCACUGAACAUAACCCCAUUGCAUCUGAGCCUGCAACCCAUCUUCAGGAUCAGUGGAAACAUUCAUCAAUUCUAUCACCAUCAAACUUCCACAUGAAGGAUAUGCUUUCUACCAAGCUGUCAGAAAGGGACACAGCCUCCACCUUGUGAAAUAGCCAUGAAGGUGAAUAUACAUCUAUGCUGCAUAUAUUUCACAGUUUGGUUGUAAGCUGGCCUUCCAGUUUAAAACUCCUAAGCUGUUCACAAAGGAAACCUUUUAAGGUAUGAAUCAAGGGAAAACAACAACAAAAACACAAAAAAGAUCUACCUUGCACAUAUGCACUGCUUUUUGAGAUUUUACACAUAUAUUUAUUUAAGGUGUAAGUUGUAUUAUAAUUUCACAUUGUGACGUGAGGAACAAAAUAGGGAAAAAAAUUUCCAAAGGUUAAAUUUGAGUAAAGGCCUGGGAAAGCACUGUCAUUUUGUGAAUUCCUCCUGUGACAUGCUCAGAGCAGGAUUCUCACUGGCUGUGAGGAACACAAGCUGCUCUUUAUAUACGCACUAGAGGAAGCUGAUGCCUGACCUCUGCUCAGACCUACUGCACUAUUUGCCUUAUUUUGGAAUUUCAGAUCAGCCAAAUGUAAUUUGUUGAACAACCUUUCCGUGUCAGCUCUCACACCUGGGGACCUGAGUGGUGUUUCUCAGGAUGGAAAAGAAUGGAGAGAUUAUUUUGAGGAGAAACUAGCUGUUCUGAGGACAAACAUCCACCCAGAUUAAGUUAGCUGUUAACCUUGAAAUAGAAUUGCACAAUUCUGAGCCAAAAUGCAGUCCUGGAGUCACUAAUGAUGACAUUCAUUUUCCGCAAAGCCCUUCAUCAUGCUGCAGAGCCUUUUCUCAGAAUGAACAUUGAGCUGCAGGGAGUUCUGGCAGUAGCACCACAAAGAGGUGUUUGGGGAGGAAAUCUGAGCUCCUGGCUCUGCACACCCCCGGGAGCACAUGAGGACAUGUUGUAAUUAACCACAGCAUGAAGCAGAAACCCAGCUGCCCAGAGCCAAACCUUCAGGGUCCUUCUUACCAUAGGAGCCCUGUGCAGGUCCAAAGGUAACUCUUCCAAACACUCAGAGCCCUUCUAUGACCCAAAUUUAUAUCACUGUAUUUCUAAACAAUACAAAAUGAAAAGAACUUGGGGAUGACCAGAUGGACAUGAGCCAGCAGUGUGCCAUUGUAGCCCAGUAAGCCAACUGUAUCCUGAACUGCAUCAAAAGAAGUAUGGCCACCAGGGGGAGGGAGGUGAUCCUGCCUCUCUACUGAAGCCUCUACUGAAGCUGGUGAAGCCUCACCUGGAGUACUGCAUCUAGAUGUGCAGUCCUCAGUACAGAAAUCCUCAUGAGAGAGAUGGACCUGUUGGAGCAUGUCCAGAGGUGGGCCACAAAAAUGGCCCAAGGGAUGAAAAGAGAUCUGAAUCCAAGAGAUCUGAGAGUGGCUUUUCUGUAUCAAAAAGGGGCUAUAAGGAAGGGGACAGACUCUUUAAACAGGGACUGCUGUGACAGGACAAGGAGAAAUGGUUUCAAACUAAAAGAAGGGAGAUUUAGAUUGGAUAUAAGGAAGAAGAUUUUUACAAUACUAGUGGUGAGGCACUAGGGCAGAUUGCCCAGAAAGGUGGUGGAUGCCCGGUCCCUGAAGACAUUCAAGGUCAGGCUGGACAGGACUCUGAGCAAAUCUGAUCUAGUUGUAGGUAUCCCUGUUCUUUGCAGGGGAGUUGAGCUAGAUGACCUUUGAGGGUUCCUUCCAACUGAAAUUAUUCUAUGAUUCUAUGAAAUGAUAAACAUCUGAGGCCCACCACGCCAUGAGAAGGUACAUGCUCAGCUACAUUGUUUGAUGACAAAAUGUUUCACUUAAUGCCUUUUCACUAAAAUACUUGUAAAUGGAAACAUGUGACUUCUAUUUUUUGAGUUAAUAGGUGGAGUGAAAUGUUCCAUUAGCCAACUUUUGUACGAUUCUUUUCUCCGUAGAUGGUAACAUUAGGAUGCCUUUCUCUUUAGUUGAAGUUACACAAGAGAAAACAUCAUCAUUAAAAUUAAUACACAGAAAAACCAGUCCAUUUUGUGAUAAUAACCUCAAAAUGUGAUCCAAAUAACACUAAUCAAGCAGUGUUGAGUCUUUAUAAAAUUAUGUAUUCAGCCUGUAUUAUAUGCCUAAUAUUAGCCAAAAGAAAAAAGGGGAAAGGACAGCAUUUGUCUUAUUUCCAAGAAGACAAAUAAAAAAGAAUAAUGACAAUUAAACUGAUUUUCCACUCAUCAUUCCCUCAGCUCUCAUCAUGUGGUUGCAAACCCUUUUCUCCCUCCCCUUGUAACACACAGGGUUGCCAUCAGAAGGGCUAGACCAUCAGGUUUUCCAGCCAAAACAGGGCACUUGGGAGUAUGUAAAAUUGGAGGACAGUGCAAAAUUCAUGCAGCCUAGACCUCUUCCAAGAUCAGAAAGGCAACCUCAGCAACAGCUGUUGGCCAACUGUAAGCAGCACUGAUGGUACCAUCUGGGAGGUGGUAAACUGGCAGUGGUAGUGGGAUGGAGACCCACACUCAUUUCACAUGAAUGGUUAAAUGUUAGCAGUUGCUUACAACUGAUUUAGCCAUUACAACAUCACAGAACAGCUGAGGGUAGCAGUGCCCUGGCACGUCUGGCACAACCCCAGCCCCAGCAGGGCCAUCCAGAACAGAGUACUCUGGGCAGCCUCUGCCAGUCCUCCAGUUACUGAAUGAGUAGCUUAAGGUGAAAAGCUCUCAAGGGAGAAAAAUGCUUCCAGAAGCCAAAAUACUCCUGCAUUUUCCAUCCUGACUUUGCAAGACAUGGUCUUUUGGAAAAGCAGGUAAGCAUGUGACAGUGGCACUCAAAACUUUGGUAUCUGCUCACCGCUUGUCCUGUUUAGCCCGUGGAAACAUCAGGUUUGAGACCAUGUGCUCAGCUGUGCAGUUCCAGUCCUCUGCAGAUGUUCACAGCCCUCAAAGGAUACACACUAAUAAACCUUGGUGAGCAGUGCCAGAAACAGUGGCUUUCUUUGUGAUCACCCUUCCCCACAGAGAGGAUGCUUCUGCAUGCGUUCCAAGGGGAAGAGCACCCACUUACCAAAACUGCUCAGGCAAGAUUUAACAGGCCUUAUUUCCACUUGUAUUAAUGCAUCCAUCAGCAGAUCCUCUGCAUCAAAGCUUCCUUCAGCAUCUCAGGAUUUUUCUUCAUCCUCUGGAGGACCCUCAGCAGCUGCUUGUGUUUCUAGAGCCCCUGCAGAAUCACUUACUGUGGACUCCUGGGCUGUGUCUGCUGGACCAUGGUGUAGCUGCAUGCCUGUCCCUUUCACCCAGCAAUCAGGACCUGUUUGAGAUAGAGAAGUCCCCUGUGAUGAGACUUUUUGCAUGCAAGGCACACUGAAUCAACAAAGCGGUAGCUAAAUACUCUAAUAACUAUCAUUGCUAGGCCUCAAGUCACCACAGAACGUGAGCUAAUUUGCUGUAAUUCAUUUAAUAUGUUUAGUCCGAGCAACACAAUUUCAGCCUGAUAGAUGCCCGAGAAAUCCCUUACCAGCAUUAACUGGGAGCAGGAUGCAGCACCUUCCCAGGUGCCCCCAGCUGGGGUUGCAGUGCUUUAAGGGCCCUAGGCCCUUUCCCCGGCUGCUCUGAAAGUCAGUGGCAAACUUCAAGCAAACAGGGCAGAUCACUCAAGGUCCUGGAAGCCAUACUAAUGUCCAUAAGGACCACAAGUGCCCACAGGCACUCACCCUGCAGAUGAAUGCUCACCACUCAUCUCUCCCUCUACACAGCGGUGGAUGCUGCUUCAGAUGCUCUUGUCACUGCCUCUGGGCAGCUGGGAGGAUGUGAACACCAGGACUGGUGAAUUUCCUUCUGCAGAGACAGAUGAGUUAAAACAGAUACAAGAUACCAUAUCCCCAUCUAAUUUAUUUUGGAGUAUGUACAUUCCUGAACAAGGAUAUUAGAUGGCAAAAGCUAUGAGAGCUUAAUAGCUCACAGAUGAUGCACACACACUUUGUGGACCCCAGCAGACAUCUGUGGCCCAGUCCCCAGUUUAUGCCUCUCCCUCUUUCCUUUCCUCAAACACUGUUCCAAGUGUGUAAAAAUGCUAAAUUCUACAACAAGUCCCCUUUCCACGUGACCUUGGCAACUUUGCAAUGUGAAAUGAAACCCAUCUGAAGUAUCAGCAAAGCCUUUUUUUUUUUUUUUUUUUAAAUUCUAAGACUCAGAUGACUGUUGACAGCAGAUGCUUGAUUUAAAAGGCACCAGUUGUCUUUAUCAGCAUUUGGCUAUUAACAAAUGCUAAAAAUAUUGAUGUUCUCUUUCAUUUGACACACACAACCAAGAAGUUUUCCUGAGACAGCAAAAAAUAAAGGUAAUUUUAGGCAGAAAAUUAGGAAAAAUGCUCUAAUAAUGAGGUCUAUUAGUCUGUGGAAUCCUCCCCAGGGAAAUGGUAGUAGGAAUCCAGUGCACCAGAC